GCUGUUUCAUUGCCAGCUGUAAGGAUGAAGCAGCUUCAUAGCCGGACAUCAGACGCCUUCCAAGUUCCCCUUUUCAGCAACAGAGGCAUAGGAUGCCAUUCUACCUGUGCUGCAUUGUGUGGCUGACCACUCCUAGGAUCUCAGCAGAAUCAUUACACAGUUUCAGAAGCCACAAUUGCCUGGCAUGCUGUCUGGUCAUGAUGCGUGGCUACAAUGAAGUCCUGCUGACCCCAAGCAUGGUGUGAAAUGAAGAAAUGGCACUCCACAUCCAUAGAGAGCUUGAUUUCCCCUGUUUCAUGCUUACUUGUUGGCAUAGCCAGUCUGUUAGCUUAAUUUUUGGUUCUUCCCUAUUGAAUGCUCAAGAAAGGCACCAAAACUGUCAUUCAUUGAAAAAAAGUUGUUUGCAGACACUGCCAUGCACAAAGCCCUUGACCUCAUUGAAUGUUUAAAAGAAAAUGCAGCUUCUGUGUGCAGCAAUAGGCUGAACAAGACGAGGGCAAACAGGAAGGU